GAUGAACGCUGGCGGCGUGCCUAAUACAUGCAAGUCGAGCGAACAGAUGAGGCUCUUGCUCCUCUUAAGUUAGCGGCGGACGGGUGAGUAACACGUGGAUAACCUCCCUAUCAGACUGGGAUAACUUCGAGACACCGUAGCUACUACCGUAUAAUAUAUUCAACCGCAUGGUUCAAUAGUGAAACACGGUUUUGCUUUCACUUAUAGAUGGAUCCGCGCCGCAUUAGCUAGUUGGUAAGGUAACGGCUUACCAAGGCAACGAUGCGUAGCCGACCUGAGAGGGUGAUCGGCCACACUGGAACUGAGACACGGUCCAGACUCCUACGGGAGGCAGCAGUAGGGAAUCUUCCGCAAUGGGCGAAAGCCUGACGGAGCAACGCCGCGUGAGUGAUGAAGGUCUUCGGAUCGUAAAACUCUGUUAUUAGGGAAGAACAAAUGUGUAAGUAACGAUGCACGUCUUGACGGUACCUAAUCAGAAAGCCACGGCUAACUACGUG
rnacentral:rRNA from 1 species